GGGCUUGACAUCCCACGAACCUGCCUGAAAGGGCGGGGUGCCCGCAAGGGAGCGUGGAGACAGGUGGUGCAUGGCUGUCGUCAGCUCGUGUCGUGAGAUGUUGGGUUAAGUCCCGCAACGAGCGCAACCCUCACCCCUAGUUGCCACCGGGUAAUGCCGAGCACUCGAGGGGAACUGCCAGCGUCAAGCUGGAGGAAGGCGGGGAUGACGUCAAGUCAUCAUGCCCCUUACGCCCUGGGCUACACACGUGCUACAAUGGCCAGUACAAAGGGAUGCGAGACCGUAAGGUGGAGCUAACCCCAAAAAACCGGUCUAAGUCCAGAUUGCAGUCUGCAACUCGACUGCAUGAAGGAGGAAUCGCUAGUAAUCGCGCAUCAGCACGGCGCGGUGAAUACGUUCCCGGGCCUUGUACACACCGCCCGUCACACCACGAAAGCCGGCUGUACUCGAAGUCGCUGAG
rnacentral:rRNA from 1 species